rnacentral:rRNA from 1 species
UGGGGAAUAUUGCACAAUGGGCGCAAGCCUGAUGCAGCCAUGCCGCGUGUAUGAAGAAGGCCUUCGGGUUGUAAAGUACUUUCAGCGGGGAGGAAGGUGUUGUGGUUAAUAACCACAGCAAUUGACGUUACCCGCAGAAGAAGCACCGGCUAACUCCGUGCCAGCAGCCGCGGUAAUACGGAGGGUGCAAGCGUUAAUCGGAAUUACUGGGCGUAAAGCGCACGCAGGCGGUCUGUCAAGUCGGAUGUGAAAUCCCGGGGCUCAACCUGGGAACUGCAUCCGAAACUGGCAGGCUUGAGUCUUGUAGAGGGGGGUAGAAUUCCAGGUGUAGCGGUGAAAUGCGUAGAGAUCUGGAGGAAUACCGGUGGCGAAGGCGGCCCCCUGGACAAAGACUGACGCUCAGGUGCGAAAGCGUGGGGAGCAAACA